rnacentral:rRNA from 1 species
UAGGGAAUCUUCCGCAAUGGGCGAAAGCCUGACGGAGCAACGCCGCGUGAGUGAUGAAGGUCUUCGGAUCGUAAAACUCUGUUAUUAGGGAAGAACAUAUGUGUAAGUAACUGUGCACAUCUUGACGGUACCUAAUCAGAAAGCCACGGCUAACUACGUGCCAGCAGCCGCGGUAAUACGUAGGUGGCAAGCGUUAUCCGGAAUUAUUGGGCGUAAAGCGCGCGUAGGCGGUUUUUUAAGUCUGAUGUGAAAGCCCACGGCUCAACCGUGGAGGGUCAUUGGAAACUGGAAAACUUGAGUGCAAAAGAGGAAAGUGGAAUUCCAUGUGUAGCGGUGAAAUGCGCAGAGAUAUGGAGGAACACCAGUGGCGAAGGCGACUUUCUGGUCUGUAACUGACGCUGAUGUGCGAAAGCGUGGGGAUCAAACAGGAUUAGAUACCCUGGUAGUCCACGCCGUAAACGAUGAGUGCUAAGUGUUAGGGGGUUUCCGCCCCUUAGUGCUGCAGCUAACGCAUUAAGCACUCCGCCUGGGGAGUACGACCGCAAGGUUG